UACGGGGGGGGCAAGCGUUGUUCGGAAUUACUGGGCGUAAAGGGCGCGUAGGCGGCCUACUAAGUCGGACGUGAAAUCCCUCGGCUCAACCGAGGAACUGCGUCCGAUACUGGUGGGCUUGAAUCCGGGAGAGGGAUGUGGAAUUCCAGGUGUAGCGGUGAAAUGCGUAGAUAUCUGGAGGAACACCGGUGGCGAAGGCGGCAUCCUGGACCGGUAUUGACGCUGAGGCGCGAAAGCUAGGGGAGCAAACGGG
rnacentral:rRNA from 1 species